ACGGAAGGCAGCAGUGAGGAAUAUUGGUCAAUGGACGGAAGUCUGAACCAGCCAAGUCGCGUGAAGGAUGAAGGUAUUAUGUAUUGUAGACUUCUUUAGCAGUGGAGUAAUAAGGUGGUCGAGACCACUGAUGCAAGUACACUGAGAAUAAGGAUCGGCUAACUCCGUGCCAGCAGCCGCGGUAAUACGGAGGAUCCGAGCGUUAUCCGGAUUUAUUGGGUUUAAAGGGUGCGCAGGCGGCUUUUUAAGUCAGUGGUUAAAUCGUGACGCUCAACGUCAUCACGCCAUUGAUACUGGAGAGCUUGAUUGCGGUCGAGGUUUGCGGAAUUCGUUGUGUAGCGGUGAAAUGCAUAGAUAUGACGAAGAACACCGAUUGCGUAGGCAGCAGACCAGGCCGUAAAUGACGCUCAUGCACGAAAGUGCGGGGAUCGAACAGGAUUAGAUACCCUGGUA
rnacentral:rRNA from 1 species